rnacentral:tRNA from 1 species
GGCCCUUUAGCUCAGUGGUUAGAGCAGGCGACUCAUAAUCGCUUGGUCGUUGGUUCAAACCCAACAGGGGACACCA